rnacentral:misc_RNA from 1 species
UUUCCGUAGAUGAACCUGCGGAAGGAUCAUUAACGAGUUAGGGUCUCCUAGGCCCGACCUCCCAACCCUUUGUUUACUGAACCAUUGUUGCCUCGGUGGGUCCGUCUUACGACCGCCGGGGGAUCGCCGCGAGGCGCCCCCUGGCCAGCGCCCACCGAUAGCCCAACCUUUAAAACCCUUUGUGAAUCGUGUCUUAUGUCUAAAUUUAUGAUUAAACAAUCAAAACAAAACUUUCAACAACGGAUCUCUUGGUUCUG